rnacentral:rRNA from 1 species
AGUGAACGCUGGCGGUAGGCCUAACACAUGCAAGUCGAACGGCAGCACAGUAAGAGCUUGCUCUUACGGGUGGCGAGUGGCGGACGGGUGAGGAAUACAUCGGAAUCUACUUUUUCGUGGGGGAUAACGUAGGGAAACUUACGCUAAUACCGCAUACGACCUACGGGUGAAAGCAGGGGAUCUUCGGACCUUGCGCGAUUGAAUGAGCCGAUGUCGGAUUAGCUAGUUGGCGGGGUAAAGGCCCACCAAGGCGACGAUCCGUAGCUGGUCUGAGAGGAUGAUCAGCCACACGGGAACUGAGACACGGUACAGACUCCUACGGGAGGCAGCAGUGGGGAAUAUUGGACAAUGGGCGAAAGCCUGAUCCAGCCAUACCGCGUGGGUGAAGAAGGAGUUCGGGUUGUAAAGCCCUUUUGUUGGGAAAGAAAAGAAGCAGGUUAAUACCCCGCUGUUCUGACGGUACCCAAAGAAUAAGCACCGGCUAACUUCGUG